GAUCCAGGGCCCAGACUAAGAGAAAGGGAGAUAGCGGUGUGUGGCGGUGGAGGAAUCAAGGUGAGAUGAGGUAAGUGGGGGAAAACCAGCCUUUAAAUGGAAGCCCGAGGAGUCUGGGCUCCAGGCCACCGCAAAGCUCUGACAGGAGGGAGCCAUGAAGAAGCAGGGAAGGUCGGGCCGCCCUGGGCUGCUGGAGAGGUGAGGGCUGGAGGCCAGGGAGCCCAUUUUCGCAACAUUGAUAGUAUCCGUUGGGCAGUGUCCCUCGGACCCCUGACCCCCGGCCUGCUGGGCGGGGGGCCCUGGGUUUCUGUCCUGCCCACCCCGAGGAGCUGGGGACCGACUGCUGGAGCCCCUUAAGGAGGCGGCGGGAAGAAGCCCCAUCAUUAGUCGGGCCCUGGGCAGACCAAAUCUGUGUCUCUUCUUGGACCCUUGUGACAGUUCGGUCACUCCAUCCCAGAUGACCAGGGACAGCGGACGUACGGACACGCAGCUGGUGCGCCCAGGGCCAGAUAAGGAUGCGGGGCUGCUCCCGCCCCCACUCCCUCCCGCGGCGCCGGGUCUGCACAAGUCCCGCGGGCUCGGGCUCCCAGCGCGGCCCGGCCCGCGUCCUCACUGCGGCUGGAGGACCUCGGCGGGUCUCUGCCCGAGUCGUGAGGGUGGGGGAAUCGGGAGCCUGGCCGACUUUGGACUCGUCCCUCAAACCCGCCUCCUCGCACACGCACACAUCGGCUAGUUCUGAGGGGGGCUCAUCAGCGUGACCCCGCGGACCCACCGAGCGGCGGCACCCGCGCCGAAUCCCCGCAGGGUCUGGCCGGAGCCCACUCUGCGCAUGCGCCUCCACUCGCGGCCGCGGCCCGGCCCAGGCCCCUCCAGGCCGCGCGCCUCCGAGUCACGCGCAGGCGCUCACGCAUGCGCAGGCUCGCGGCGGCGCUCCCUGCGCGCGGGCUCGGCGGAGUGGGGUGGGCGGUGCCUCAGCGCCCGGGCCGGGGCGGCGGGUUCCUGUCCCCCGGGGCCGGCCCGCGAGCUUCGCCCCCUCGGCUUUCACCCCCCCCGCCCCCCGCAGGGCGGAGGCGCCGCGAUGGCCGCUGCGCCGUGGGCUCGCCGCUCCCCUCCCUCCCGCUCGGUGCGCUGCUGGCUCCCGAACCCCCGCAGGGUGUCGGCAGUUUUGAUUUGGGCCGGGGCGGGCUCUGGACCUGCUCACGCUUGUGGUGUGAGGUCACGGAGUUCGGGAGGCAUUUGAGGAACGUGGAGAAUGCCGGAGACAGAUCGGGGCUGGUGGUUAUUCUGUUGUGGUUUUCUCCUGCGGCCAGCCCUCAGAUAAAGAAAUGGACUAGUCACACCACUUGAGAAUGGAGGUGUGAACAACAAAGCUGCCACCUGCGUCUCUGGGGAUCUUAUCUUGUGUAUAGUCAUUUCUUUGUGGAUGUCUGUGGAAUGAAUGAAUGAGGAACAGACACAAAUAGAAUUCAAUGUUAAAUUUCCCUGAAAAUCCUUAGCAGAGAGGUUCAAUUGUAGAGUCUGGAGGCUCUUUGCAGAGGAAAAUCUCCCUGUAAGGACAACGCGGUAUCACAAAGUUGCUUGGUGGGCAGUGGACUCAGAUGAUGUCAAAGGGAGCGUGCUCAGACGCAGGGGCCUGUGUGGGGGUGGCCAGCCCGAGGUAGAUGGCUCCAGCCCAGCUGAGUGCCAUCUCCAGCAAGCCCACUGCAGAAAAGCCUUGAUUCCAGACAUGCACCUGCUGCCUAGAGGGGAGUUUUCUAGACUGAAAAGUCAGUCUUUACCUCAAGUAUUAUCUUCCUCUCCCUGAACACAGGUAACUCACAGGAGUGGAUGUUUCUGACAACCCAAUCUUAUUACAUGGUAAAAGGUGAGAAAAGAAAACCAAGUCCAAAUAUGCACUUUAAGAAAUAUUAGGGAAUCUUCUUCAGGCAGAAGGAAAGUGAUACCAGAUGGAAACUUGGAUGUACACAUAGGAAUGAAGACCACUGGAAAAAGGAAACAGAAAAGAAUUUUUCUUAUUUAAAAAUUUUUUAAAAGGUAAUUGUUUAAAAGCAAAACAAACCUGGUACUGUGGAGUUUAUAACACAUCUAGAUGUAAAAAGUAGGACAGAAAUAGCAUGAAGAUUUGGAGAGGAGAAAACAAAAACCAGCAUUUCCUUGACUCUUUGGCAAGUUGAUUGGCUAUAUGACUGUGUUCUGGUCUGUGAGUUGAGCGGAAGUGGCACAUGCAAUUCUCCGGAGAUAGAAAGAUAGAAGGCAUGUCUUUUAUCUCUUCCUUCUUCCUGCCUGGAAUUCUGACUGGAGCUCCAGAAACUUGGACAAAAGAGUGACCUUUGGAUAGUGAACAAUGACUUUUCCUUCCUUGGAUAAUGAAAGAGCAACAAGAUCUAAGGAGCCCGGUUCCCCAACACCAUGGAUUGCCAGAUCAAACCUGGAUGGGGCCUUCUGGAUAUUUUUCAGUGAAAAAUAAUUUAUCUUGUUAAGUUACUGUUAUUUGGAGGUUUUCUUCAACCCAGAGCUGAAUGCAAUUCUAACUAAUAUGGUUAACUAUUUAAAAGAGUAAUGAAUGCAAUUGGUAAAUCUGACAAGAUGAUCUAAAAAAAAAAAAAAAGAAGAGAAAGCUCUGGCCAGGUGGCUCAGUUGGUUAGGGUGUUGUCCCGAUACAACCAACCAACUGAGCCACACUGGCCAGGGCUGGCUCUGACAUUCUAAAAGACCUAGGUUGUGUCUUUUGCUCUGUUAUUGUUCUAUCUUGGCAUGGGAGAAAGAAAGUGUGCACAUGUAUAAUUUCAUAGCAACCAACCAUUAGGAAGGGCAGGCAUAACUUCUGUUCCAAGCAGGAAGCCUGUUAAUAAAGAAGAGAGAAGCCCCUGGAACGAAAUGAUUCCAUUUUGCUCCCAGGAAGCAAGCCCUGGCCAUUUUCUCAUUCACUGGCAGGUGAAGUCUGCUCAGGCUUACUAACCAAGGUUGGCUUUUAGAGCUUCUGGUGGGGCUGCCAUGCAUUUGGCACCAGGCUGUGAGCAGGGCUCCUGAGUGAAAACAGCUCCCCUGCCCGCCUUUCAGAGCCUUUGUCUGCACAGUGCUGUUCUUUCCAAGGGCCCCUGUCUCAGGAUCACCUGAGACUCAGAAAUUCACCAGGAAUCCCUUUGCAGCAUUGCGCAUUCCAGAUCCCUACGUAGAGAGGCCACACCCAGAUUCCACAUAAGAGCCGCAGCAGACCAGCUCUUUCUGUACAUGCUCUCCACCUUCCUGAGUGUUCCUGCCUCAUGGCUGAGCCAUGUGUCUGCGUGUGUGAGUGACAUCGUUGGUCCCAUAUGAGAGGUAAGAUUCUUCUUUCUUUUUU